rnacentral:rRNA from 1 species
UACUCAGUUCGGAUUGAAGGCUGAAAUUCGCCUUCAUGAAGCUGGAAUUGCUAGUAAUGGCAGGUCAGCAUACUGCCGUGAAUACGUUCCCGGGCCUUGUACACACCGCCCGUCACACCAUGAGAGUUGGGAAUACCCGAAGCCUGUGAGCUAACUGUAAGGAGGCAGCAGUCGAAGGUAGAAUCAAUGAUUGGGGUGAAGUCGUAACAAGGUAAC